rnacentral:rRNA from 1 species
AUUCCAGCUCCAAUAGCGUAUAUUAAAGUUGUUGUGGUUAAAAAGCUCGUAGUUGGAUUUCGGCGGGUAUUGGUCGGUUUGAAUUGCUUCAAUACUGACUUUUUUACCCGUGUGUUUUGCCAGAAUUUAACGGGUGAUCUUCGCCGAUUGUCUGUUAGAACUGGCAGGUUUACUUUGAAAAAAUUAGAGUGCUCAAAGCAAGCUUGAUUGCUUGAAUAUUCGUGCAUGGAAUAAUAGAAUAGGAAGUCGUUUCUAUUUUGUUGGUUUUCGGAAAUCGACUUAAUGAUUAAUAGGGACAGUCGGGGGCAUUUGUAUUCAAACGACAGAGGUGAAAUUCUUGGACCGUUUGAAGACAAACUACUGCGAAAGCAUUUGCCAAGAAUGUUUUCAUUG